UGGCAAUUCACCUACUAAAGAUAUGGCUC
rnacentral:piRNA from 1 species